GUUAUCAUGUUGUAUUACUGUAGAGGUCAGCUCAGUGUAACAUGACUAGACGAGGUAUGCCAUGGUCAGUUAUCAUGUUGUAUUACUGUAGAGGUCAGCUCAGUGUAACAUGACUAGAUGAGGUAUGCCAUGGUGAGUUAUCAUGUAUUACUGUAGAGGUCAGCUCAGUGUAACAUGACUAGAUGAGGUAUGCCAUGGUGAGUUAUCAUGUUGUAUUACUGUAGAGGUCAGCUCAGUGUAACAUGACUAGAUGAGGUAUGCCAUGGUGAGUUAUCAUGUUGUAUUACUGUAGAGGUCAGCUCAGUGUAACAUGACUAGAUGAGGUAUGCCAUGGUGAGUUACCAUGUUGUAUUACUGUAGAGGUCAGCUCAGUGUAACAUGACUAG